GAGACACACUUCUGGGGUAAGCCUUGCUUCAGUGGGGCUUUGGUGCUCACUGAGUCUGCCUCCUGAGUGUGUCCCU
rnacentral:pre_miRNA from 1 species